rnacentral:rRNA from 1 species
GAUGAACGCUGGCGGCGUGCCUAAUACAUGCAAGUCGAACGCAUAGCGAAAGGUGCUUGCACCUUUCAAGUGAGUGGCGAACGGGUGAGUAACACGUGGACAACCUGCCUCAAGGCUGGGGAUAACAUUUGGAAACAGAUGCUAAUACCGAAUAAAACUUAGUGUCGCAUGACACAAAGUUAAAAGGCGCUUCGGCGUCACCUAGAGAUGGAUCCGCGGUGCAUUAGUUAGUUGGUGGGGUAAAGGCCUACCAAGACAAUGAUGCAUAGCCGAGUUGAGAGCCUGAUCGGCCACAUUGGAACUGAGACACGGCCCAAACUCCUACGGGAGGCUGCAGUAGGGAAUCUUCCACAAAGGGCGAAAGCCUGAUGGAGCAACGCCGCGUGUGUGAUGAAGGCUUUCGGGUCGUAAAGCACUGUUGUAUGGGAAGAACAGCUAGAAUAGGAAAUGAUUUUAGUUUGACGGUACCAUACCAGAAAGGGCCGGCUAAAUACGUG